rnacentral:rRNA from 1 species
AUUGAACGCUGGCGGAAUGCUUUACACAUGCAAGUCGAACGGCAGCACGGGGGCAACCCUGGUGGCGAGUGGCGAACGGGUGAGUAAUACAUCGGAACGUGCCCAGUCGUGGGGGAUAACGUAGCGAAAGUUACGCUAAUACCGCAUACGAUCUACGGAUGAAAGCGGGGGACCGUAAGGCCUCGCGCGAUUGGAGCGGCCGAUGUCAGAUUAGGUAGUUGGUGAGGUAAAGGCUCACCAAGCCGACGAUCUCAAGCUGGUCUGAGAGGACGACCAGCCACACUGGGACUGAGACACGGCCCAGACUCCUACGGGAGGCAGCAGUGGGGAAUUUUGGACAAUGGGCGCAAGCCUGAUCCAGCCAUUCCGCGUGCGGGACGAAGGCCUUCGGGUUGUAAACUGCUUUUGUACGGAACGAAAAGGCUCUGGUUACUACCUGGGGCUCAUGACGGUACCGUAAGAAUAAGCACCGGCUAACUACGUGCCAGCCGCCGCCGUAA